rnacentral:rRNA from 1 species
UGGGGAAUAUUGCGCAAUGGGGGAAACCCUGACGCAGCGACGCCGCGUGCGGGAUGAAGGCCUUCGGGUUGUAAACCGCUUUUGAUUGGGAGCAAGCUUUCGGGUGAGUGUACCUUUCGAAUAAGCGCCGGCUAACUACGUGCCAGCAGCCGCGGUAAUACGUAGGGCGCAAGCGUUAUCCGGAAUCAUUGGGCGUAAAGGGUACGUAGGCGGAUAAGCAAGUUAGAAGUGAAAUCCUAUAGCUCAACUAUAGUAAGCUUUUAAAACUGCUCAUCUUGAGGUAUGGAAGGGAAAGUGGAAUUCCUAGUGUAGCGGUGAAAUGCGCAGAUAUUAGGAGGAAUACCGGUGGCGAAGGCGGCUAUCUGGACAGUAACUGACGCUGAGGCGCGAAAGCGUGGGGAGCAAACAGG